UUCUGGUUGAACAUACUUCCUCCUGCAGGGGGCAGGUUGCUGCUGCUCUUUGCGACCUGCCGUAAGAUGUGAGCGGUCGCUGAGGAGAUGGGAACCAGCCUCCCCUUUACAAACAGCGCGAAUGUUAUUAGUUACUGGGCUCAGCAUAUUUCAGUAGCUGCCUCGGUAGGAUUCGAACGCAUGUCCCCAGAACAUUGGGGCUCUGGACUACUCGUCCAGUGACAUUAUCACUGUGCCACUACGUUCCCAUGAUGACUGGUCUGCUGCUCCUGUCCAUUAUGCAAGUCAGCAUCUUCAGGAGGGAAGAAACAUUAAAUGAGAAUGGAAUAGUCUUCAGUCGAGACAUGGCAGAUCAUAGACUUCAGUUACACAGCCAACAGUGGGAGGCUGCUGACCAGUAACAGACAAUGAUUUGUUUUCUGUUAGCAAAGUCACUUUUCCUGGGGCUCCAAUCAACGAGGGGACAUUGCAGCAACCUGCCUUGAUGCCUGUAAUCCCAAUCCCCCGCCGGGUGCGUUCUUUCCAUGGCCCCCACACUACGUGCUUGCACUCGGCAUGUGGCCCUGUACGGACCACUCAUCUUGUCCGGACCAAGUACAACAACUUCGACCUUUACUUGAAAUCACGUUGGAUGUAUGGUUUUGUCCGCUUCCUGCUCUAUUUCAGCUGUAGUCUCUUUACGUCCAUGCUCUGGGUGGCACUGUCCAUUCUCUUCUGCAUCCAGUACUUCUCCAUACGUGUUUCUCUGCGCUUUCAGUACAAGCUCUCCAUAGUGCUCCUGUUGCUGGGGCGCAGGCGUGUUGAUUUCAACACAAUCAAUGAACUCUUUAUCUAUGGGAUCCAUGUGACCAUGCUGCUAGUUGGAGGACUGGGCUGGUGUUUUAUGGUAUUUGUUGAUAUGUAAAUAAGUGUGCAUGUGAAAAGAGAAAAGUUAUGAGCAUUAUGAUGUAAAAUAUAUUGUUUACAAUCCUGCAAAAA